GGAAAAAAGGAGAAUGGGGGGGGCAGGAGAGAGGAUUUGAAAAGGGAAGGAGGGGCAACGAUGGAGCGAGAGAGACAGGAGCGAAAAGGCGAAGAUUGCCUAUGAAGGAACCUUACUCUGUGUGACUGACUGAGAGGUGAUCCACGAGCUUUCCUCUCAUUAAACAUUCCUGGAGCAUCAGGCAGAGCGAGAGAGACAGAGGAGGGAACGGCUGGUGGCAUCAGAUUGCGGGAACAAUUCUGGUGCUUCUUGUGAAUGGGGUUUUCCUCAUGACAUCCUCUUUUUGAGUCAGUCAAAUCAAGAGACAUGGGUCAUUAACAGGAAGACGCCUUGGUGACUUGCCCUCAGGGGAUGCGAGGACUGCUGAUAUCAAACCUGCCCCAGUUAAGUGGGAAGAGGGUAGGCUUGCUGAAACCUAACACAGAGUGGUGGGAGCAUGUCCUCAUUUGGGAAACUGACCGAGUACUUCAGCUUGAGAAAGUCGGGGGAGGACAUUCGGCCUGGACGCAGCACUGGCAGAAGGAGUGGGAGUUAUUGUUGUUCUGUAACACAGUCAAGGUCUCUGGAUAGAAAGCUACAGAGACCUGUUCUUGGGAAGUCUUUGACCCUUCCCAGCAUCCCCCAGUCUCCAGUGCUGACCAGAGU